rnacentral:rRNA from 1 species
AGAGGGUGCUUUUGGCUCAGGACGAACGCUGGCGGCGCGCCUAACACAUGCAAGUCGAACGAGCGAGAGAGAGCUUGCUUUCUCGAGCGAGUGGCGAACGGGUGAGUAACGCGUGAGGAACCUGCCUCAAAGAGGGGGACAACAGUUGGAAACGACUGCUAAUACCGCAUAAGCCCACGGGUCGGCAUCGACCAGAGGGAAAAGGAGCAAUCCGCUUUGAGAUGGCCUUGCGUCCGAUUAGCUAGUUGGUGAGGUAAUGGCCCACCAAGGCAACGAUCGGUAGCCGGACUGAGAGGUUGAACGGCCACAUUGGGACUGAGACACGGCCCAGACUCCUACGGGAGGCAGCAGUGGGGAAUAUUGCACAAUGGGGGAAACCCUGAUGCAGCGACGCCGCGUGGAGGAAGAAGGUCUUCGGAUUGUAAACUCCUGUUGUUGAGGAAGAUAAUGACGGUACUCAACAAGGAAGUGACGGCUAACUACGUGCCAGCAGCCGCGGUAAAACGUAGGUCACAAGCGUUGUCCGGAAUUACUGGGUGUAAAGGGAGCGCAGGCGGGAAGACAAGUUGGAAGUGAAAUCUAUGGGCUCAACCCAUAAACUGCUUUCAAAACUGUUUUUCUUGAGUAGUGCAGAGGUAGGCGGAAUUCCCGGUGUAGCGGUGGAAUGCGUAGAUAUCGGGAGGAACACCAGUGGCGAAGGCGGCCUACUGGGCACCAACUGACGCUGAGGCUCGAAAGUGUGGGUAGCAAACAGGAUUAGAUACCCUGGUAGUCCACACCGUAAACGA